AGGACGAACGCUGGCGGCGUGCUUAACACAUGCAAGUCGAGCGAGGCUCUCUCCUUCGGGAGGGAUGCCCUAGCGGCGAACGGGUGAGUAACACGUGGGCAACCUGCCCCUAGCACUGGGAUAACUCCGGGAAACCGGGGCUAAUACCGGAUACGACCUCUGAGGGCAUCCUCCGGAGGUGGAAAGCAUUGUGGCUAGGGAUGGGCCCGCGGCCUAUCAGCUUGUUGGUGAGGUAACGGCCCACCAAGGCGACGACGGGUAGCCGGCCUGAGAGGGCGACCGGCCACACUGGGACUGAGACACGGCCCAGACUCCUACGGGAGGCAGCAGUGGGGAAUAUUGCACAAUGGGCGAAAGCCUGAUGCAGCGACGCCGCGUGAGGGAUGACUGCCUUCGGGUUGUAAACCUCUUUCAGCAGGGACGAAGCGAAAGUGACGGUACCUGCAGAAGAGCACCGGCCAACUACGUGCCAGCAGCCGCGGU
rnacentral:rRNA from 1 species